rnacentral:rRNA from 1 species
UACGGGGGGGGGCAAGCGUUGUUCGGAAUUACUGGGCGUAAAGGGCUCGUAGGCGGCCAACUAAGUCGGAUGUGAAAUCCCCAGGCUCAACUUGGGAACUGCAUCCGAUACUGGAUGGCUUGAAUUCGGGAGAGGGAUGCAGAAUUCCAGGUGUAGCGGUGAAAUGCGUAGAUAUCUGGAGGAACACCGGUGGCGAAGGCGGCAUCCUGGACCGACACUGACGCUGAGGAGCGAAAGCCAGGGGGGCAAACGGG